rnacentral:rRNA from 1 species
UGGGCACUCUAGAGAGACUGCCAGGGAUAACCUGGAGGAAGGUGGGGAUGACGUCAAAUCAUCAUGCCCCUUAUGCUUAGGGCUACACACGUGCUACAAUGGGUAGUACAGAGGGUUGCCAAACCGUAAGGUGGAGCUAAUCCCUUAAAGCUACUCUCAGUUCGGAUUGUAGGCUGAAACUCGCCUACAUGAAGCUGGAGUUACUAGUAAUCGCAGAUCAGAAUGCUGCGGUGAAUGCGUUCCCGGGUCUUGUACACACCGCCCGUCACACCACGGGAGUUGGAGACGCCCGAAGCCGACUAUCUAACCUUUUGGAAGAAGUCGUCGAAGGUGGAAUCAAUAACUGGGGUGAAGUCGUAACAAGGUAGCCGUAUCGGAAGGUGCGGCUGGAUCACCUCCUUUCUAAGGA